rnacentral:rRNA from 1 species
CUAACAAGGAUUCCCCUAGUAACUGCGAGUGAACAGGGAAGAGCCCAGCACCGAAGCUCCCGUCCGUUGAAAUGGGCGAGGCGCAAUGUGGUGUUUGGGAGGGAGUCUCCUCCGGCUGCGGUAGCCUAAGUCCCCCUGACCGGGGCCAUCGCCCAUGGCGGGUGCAAGGCCCUUGUGGCUAAAACCGUGGUCACGAGGUUGACUUCUUCUCCCCAGAGUCGGGUUGCUUGAAAGUGCAGCCCUAAGUGGGUGGUAAACUCCAUCUAAGGCUAAAUACUUCCACGAGACCGAUAGCAAACAAGUACCGUGAGGGAAAGUUGCAAAGAACUUUGAAGAGAGAGUUCAAGAGUACGUGAAACCGCUUGGAGGUAAACGGGUGGGCCCUCGAAGGUCGAACGGGGGGAUUCAACCCGUCGCUUCGCUCCGACCUAGUUCAGUGUGUUUGCCCACACGACCAGCACCGCGAGGUUUAAUCGGACCCUUUCGAGGGACGGCUGGUAAAAGAACCUAGGCUUCACGGACGGCGGCGGGCGCACUUCCCCCUCAGUAGGACGCCGCGACCGGUUGGGAGGUUUCGCAAGAAACGUAAUCGCAGCCAUAAGGCGUGGAAACGGCAGGUAUCCGUUGCCGGUGUGCCACCUCGGUUCUCAUGCCUUGGAAAUUUGGUGACCGGUCGGAGUUACAGCCAUCCGCGACCCGUUUUGCCCUGCAUCCCGACCGCCCAUGGUCACGAAUACCGUUGAUGCGCGCCCGCGUCUUGAUUGACGCGCACCUCGGCACGGGCAGGCGGCAAGUCAGGUUUAACGUUCUCGAACGUCGCUCGCUCGACGGUCUUGGACCCUGCUUCCGCGUUUCGCUCGGUUCGCCAGCUCUCAGGUGCGGCGGCAAGCUCGCGAUCUGCGGCGAGUAGNNNNNNNNNNNNNNNNNNNNNNNNNNNNNNNNNNNNNNNNNNNNNNNNNNNNNNNNNNNNNNNNNNNGUCGUUGGGUCUGCCCUCGGCAGCUAAACCCGAACACGGCGAAAUUAAAGUGAAGGUCCGCCCUUCGGCCGGUUUUUUUCCCCGCAAGGGGGAUUGCCGGAUCACCGUCGCGGCGGACCCAGGCGGGAUCCUUCGGCGGUCGUUUUGCGACUUAGCGGUGAGCGGCCCCUUCGCGGGGGUCGCGUCUGGAGCCGCGGUCCUCGGCCGCCUGCCGAGCACGUUUCACACGGUUAUCGGCGAACGUUCCCCUGUUACCACGGGCGCUCUGCGUUUCCCUCUUCUAACGCUUCCGUCUCGCUAACGGUCGCGGAGGGUCAAGCGGAUGUCUCGCCUUUGGGGUGGCAAGCUCUGCGGGGUUCAAACGCGUUCGAUUUCCGACGGCUCGGGGGCGCACCGCCGGCCCGUCUCGAUCGCCCUCGGUGCAUUCCUCUCUUUCCUUUUCCCUUCGGGGUUUUUGGUUUGGGGGGCCCGAAAGUCGAUGAGGCGGAGCAAGAGCACACACGUUGGGACCCGAAAGAUGGUGAACUAUGCCCGGGCAGGACGAAGCCAGAGGAAACUCUGGUGGAGGUCCGUAGCGAUUCUGACGUGCAAAUCGAUCGUCGGACCUGGGUAUAGGGGCGAAAGACUAAUCGAACCAUCUAGUAGCUGGUUCCUUCCGAAGUUUCCCUCAGGAUAGCUGGCGCUCGGGAAAUUCAGUCUCAUCCGGUAAAGCGAAUGAUUAGAGGCCUUGGGGCCGAAACGACCUCAACCUAUUCUCAAACUUUCAAUGGGUGAGAUGUCCGGCUUGCUUGAAUCUUUCGAUUGGGCUGCGUGCCUCCGUUCUGCGCGACCCGCACGGCAGUUCGCGCCGCUCCCUCUCGUUGAUGAAGCACGGACGUUGGAUGUGAGUGCCCAGUGGGCCACUUUUGGUAAGCAGAACUGGCGCUGUGGGAUGAACCAAAAGCCGGGUUACGGCGCCGAAUGCGGACGCUUAUCAGACCCCAUGAAAGGUGUUGGUUGCUAUUGACAGCAGGACGGUGGCCAUGGAAGUCGGAA